GAUGAAGAACGCAGCGAAAUGCGAUAAGUAAUGCGAAUUGCAGAAUUCCAGUGAGUCAUCGAAUCUUUGAACGCACAUUGCGCCCUUUGGUAUUCCGAAGGGCAUGCCUGUUCGAGCGUCAUUAUCACCCCUCAAGCCCUCGGCUUGGUGUUGGACGGUUUGGUGGAGGCCCCCUCGGGGGCUCCUGCCCCUCCCAAAGACAAUGACGGCGGCCUCGUUGGACCCCCGGUACACUGAGUUCUUCACGGGACACGUAUCGGACACAUGGGUUUACGGGACACGGUCUGCCUCCCCUCAGGGAGAAUCUUUCUAAGGUCGACCUCGGAUCAGGUAGGGAUACCCGCUGAACUUAAGCAUAUCAAUAAGCGGAGGA
rnacentral:misc_RNA from 1 species